UGUUGUGUAAGCCUGAUUAUUUUAAUUGGAUCCUUAGUGGAAGAACCAAGUCCAACAAUUGUUCUUUGACUUCCACACAGGAGCUGUGGCGUGCACAUACCUACACUGCCUCUACUCACUAAUAAUAAAUCUAAAAUUUUAAAAGAGAGAAUAAAUAUUAAAAGCUGGUCCUUAUUAUAUACAAUCCACAUGUCCUUUAUUUGCAUAGUUUUUUCAACCUUCAUAAAAGCUUUGAAGGUAGGAAGUAUUGUUAGUUGUGUUUGGGAGACAAAGGGCCAGAGGCUUUGGGGCGUUAUAGCAGUGAUCCACAGGGCGUACCUGCAUGUCUGUUUCUUGUCCUCAGGUGGGACCAAACCUACAUUCAUCAUCUUCUGCCCUGUUUUACAAAGGAUUUGGGGAACGUUUGGAUCUGAUCUAGAAAAAUACUUUUCUGACCUCUGAUCCAAAGGUGGAGCUGUAUCAGGUAGCUGUGACAAAGGACCACAAACCGGUGCCUGAAAACAACAGAAACAUUCCCUCUCAUUUUUGGAAGCCAGAAGUUUCCAGCCAAGGUGUCAUCUGGACCAUGCUCCCCCCAAACCUCAGUCAAGUAUCUCCUUGCCUCUUGCUGGCUUCUUGUGGUAGCUGACAAUCUUUGUGAUUUCUGGGCCUGCAACUCCACCUGUCCACUGCUUCUGUAGUUAUAGAGUACUCUCCCCUUGUGUCCACUAUCUAGGGCUCUUCUUGACUUAUAACACACUAAUCAUAUUGGAUUAAGGGCCCUCCUAUUCCAGUGUGAUGUCCUCUUAACAAAUUAUGUUCCAUGACCAAAUAAGUCAUACUUGGAGGUGCUGAAGGCCGGGACUUCAACAGAUGUUUCUGGGAAACACAUUUUAACCUAUAAAAGAGUGACUGCUAAAAACUGAUAAUCAUCUUUGUCAGGGGAAUCUGACUUCCCUGAACAUUAUUUAAGAAAAAGGGAUCUAGAGCUGUAAUAAACAUUUCAGGCAGGCUCCUCUUUUUUUAAAU
rnacentral:lncRNA from 1 species